rnacentral:rRNA from 1 species
AACGAACGCUGGCGGCAGGCCUAACACAUGCAAGUCGAGCGGACCUUUCGGGGUCAGCGGCGGACGGGGGAGUAACGCGUGGGAAUAUGCCCUUCUCUACGGAAUAGUCCUGGGAAACUGGGGGUAAUACCGUAUACGCCCAUUGGGGGAAAGAUUUAUCGGGGAAGGAUUAGCCCGCGUUGGAUUAGGUAGUUGGGGGGGUAAUGGCCUACCAAGCCGACGAUCCAUAGCUGGUUUGAGAGGAUGAUCAGCCACUCUGGGACUGAGACACGGCCCAGACUCCUACGGGAGGCAGCAGUGGGGAAUCUUAGACAAUGGGGGCAACCCUGAUCUAGCCAUGCCGCGUGAGUGAUGAAGGCCUUAGGGUUGUAAAGCUCUUUCAGCUGGGAAGAUAAUGACGGUACCAGCAGAAGAAGCCCCGGCUAACUCCGUG